rnacentral:rRNA from 1 species
AUGGCUGGCGCCCCAAGCUCAUCCUUGCACCCCCAUGGCCUCCUUCCAGGCGAUUGGGCCAGCUGCUCAGUUUCACAUCUUCAACUAAGCAUGCUUCAGACGGAAGGAUACCUUCCUGCCCCAGGUUUGACAUUCGUUCGCGCCGGACUAAUCUCCAUGAAUGGUGAAUCUUUCGCAGAGAACUUCCCUACCCCAAGCAAGAAGGAGAGGGUAUGUUUUGUGCCUUUUCUCUUACGAGGUCUAGGUUUCCCCAUAAAUCCCUUCCUCAGGGGCCUAUUAGAGUUUUACGGGAUCCAACUCCACCAUCUCACCCCUUGGAUCCGCACUGCACAUCUCGGGCUACGUCGCCCAUUCCGAGAUGUUCUUGGGCUGCAAGGUCCAUUUCGAGUUAUGGAUGAAGUUUUUUUGCCUUGUUCCUCAUAG